rfam:Triticum aestivum genome assembly, contig: Triticum_aestivum_CS42_TGACv1_scaffold_434699_5DL
AAGGUUGAUGAAGAGGAUGUUGUCUCUCACAUCCUUGCCGGGCUCGAUGAGGAGUUCAACCCCGUAGUUUCCACCAUGUGCUCCCGGGUAGAGCCGGUCACUUUCCCGGAGUUGUACUCGCAGCUCCUAAGCUUCAAGA